rnacentral:rRNA from 1 species
CACGUAGGGGGCGAGCGUUGUCCGGAUUUAUUGGGCGUAAAGAGCUCGUAGGCGGCUCAGUAAGUCAGGUGUGAAAACUCCAGGCUCAACCUGGAGACGUCACCUGAUACUGCUGUGGCUAGAGUCCGGUAGGGGAGCAUGGAAUUCCUGGUGUAGCGGUGAAAUGCGCAGAUAUCAGGAGGAACACCAGUGGCGAAGGCGGUGCUCUGGGCCGGUACUGACGCUGAGGAGCGAAAGCAUGGGGAGCGAACAGG